UACGUAGGGGGCAAGCGUUGUCCGGACUUACUGGGCGUAAAGCGCGUGCAGGCGGAUUGGUAUGUGCCGUGUGAAAGCUCCCAGCUUGCCUGGGAGAGGUCGCGGUAGACAGCCGAUCUGGAGGCUCGGAGAGGUCAGUGGAAUUCCCGGUGUAGUGGUGAAAUGCGUAGAUAUUGGGAGGAACACCAGUGGCGAAGGCGGCUCGCUGGACCGGUUCUGACGCUGAGGCGCGAAAGCGUGGGGAGCAAACGGG
rnacentral:rRNA from 1 species